UACGGGGGGGGGCAAGCGUUGUUCGGAAUUACUGGGCGUAAAGGGCGCGUAGGCGGCUCACUAAGUCGGAUGUGAAAACUCUGGGCUCAACCCAGAGCCUGCAUCCGAAACUGGUGGGCUAGGGUGCUGGAGGGGAUAGCGGAAUUCCUGGUGUAGCGGUGAAAUGCGUAGAUAUCAGGAGGAACACCGGUGGCGAAGGCGGCAUCCUGGACCGGCAUUGACGCUGAGGCGCGAAAGCUAGGGGAGCAAACGGG
rnacentral:rRNA from 1 species